rnacentral:rRNA from 1 species
CGAAAGCCUGACGGAGCAAUACCGCGUGAGGGAUGACGGCCUUUGGGUUGUAAACCUCUUUUUUCAAGGAGGAAGUUCUGACGUGUACUUGAAGAAUAAGCAUCGGCUAACUCCGUGCCAGCAGCCGCGGUAAGACGGAGGAUGCAAGUGUUAUCCGGAAUUAUUGGGCGUAAAGCGUCUGUAGGUUGCCUAGCAAGUCUAUUGUUAAAGGUUAAAGCUUAACUUUAAAACUGCAGUAGAAACUGUUGGGCUUGAGUAUAGUUGAAGUAAGGGGAAUUUCCAGUGAAGCGGUGAAAUGCGUAGAUAUUGGAAGGAACACCAAUGGCGAAAGCACUUUACUAGACUUUUACUGACACUCAGAGACGAAAGCUAGGGUAGCA